GUUGAGCUCUAUCCUGAUGGGGUUUUUCUGUAGACCUACAUUGUUGGAAAUGCCUCAAAGAGUAAAUAUAUUGAUUCCUUUAUUCACAGAACUGGGUGUUAAACAAACAAAGAAAGAACUCUGUGUUAGAACCGUGGGAUGGAACUACAAGACAGAA